rnacentral:rRNA from 1 species
GAUGAACGCUGACAGAAUGCUUAACACAUGCAAGUCAACUUGAACUUCGGUUUGGGUGGCGGACGGGUGAGUAACGCGUAAAGAACUUGCCUCACAGCUAGGGACAACAUUUGGAAACGAAUGCUAAUACCUGAUAUUAUGAUUUUAGGGCAUCCUAGAAUUAUGAAAGCUAUAUGCGCUGUGAGAGAGCUUUGCGUCCCAUUAGCUAGUUGGAGAGGUAACGGCUCACCAAGGCGAUGAUGGGUAGCCGGCCUGAGAGGGUGAACGGCCACAAGGGGACUGAGACACGGCCCUUACUCCUACGGGAGGCAGCAGUGGGGAGUAUUGGACAAUGGACCAAGAGUCUGAUCCAGCAAUUCUGUGUGCACGAUGAAGUUUUUCGGAAUGUAAAGUGCUUUCAGUUGGGAAGAAAAAAAUGACGGUACCAACAGAAGAAGUGACGGCUAAAUACGUG